rnacentral:lncRNA from 1 species
GGAAUCAAGACACUUAGAAAAUGACAGCUUAACAGAGAGCUCCAGGAAUCAAGAAAAAGCUGACAGAAAAACUAGAAACUACAGAGAAACUGAAGACGAUGCAGAGAAAAGUAUGAUACAGUCUGGAAUGCUAACCUCAGCUCCCAGAGAGGGGCACCUUUCUCUGCAAACAAAUGGACCAGCUGUGCUAGCCCCAAGAAAAGAUUAUGGUAUUGUAAGCUACAAAUACAGUAUGGGGUUUUACUCUGAAAGUGACUUUUUGCAUGGCAGGUUGGAGUUGGAGAAGAAAUUCACAGCAGCAUCCACCAUACUUGGGAGUGGUAUAAUCAGAAGCCAUUGUCAGAAGGGUUUAUUAAGACUGAUACUCCAGGGAUCAGAAGUCAUGGAACAACUUCACUUCAGGGUCUCUGGGGUUACACUACCACAGUGACUGUGUAGGAGACAGCCACAAGAGACAAUCACAAAGGAAGAGGGCUGGUGACAGAUUCCAUGAGAAGUUAAAGCAGCAGCAUGAAGCACUGUGAAGGUCACAGUGGUCCAAUACUCUGUGAGAAAGCCAAAUUUGAAGAAGUUGAUCUUUCCUGCUUACACUGGUUAGAUUUUGGAAAUCUGGAAAUGGAGCCAUUGGCAUUUCAAGAAAGUUCUGUCUGGAAAAAUAAAUUCUGUGACUUGUGUGCAACCCUUGAGAAGAUAGAGAACAUGGAAUGUGAGGGAGAACAAAGGACUGCAGGUGGUAGCUCUGAAAAUGAAAUCCUUAAAGUGUGGAAUUCCGUGCCGAAUAAUUGUAAGUCAAUGAAAGCACUUGGGAUUGCUUUUCUUACUUUGUUUGGAACAUCUCAUGUUUGUGAGCAGUUGUGUUCAGUUUUGAAUUCUAUCAAAUCUGAUACAGGAAACAGACUGACUGAUGAUGACCUGAGUCUGCAUGUGUUGCUCUCAAGCUAGCAAAGUGUGAGCCAAGGUUGACAGAUUAUCAGAUGCAUAGGACAGCAAGAUCACAUUAAUGGUGCAAAAGCAUGCCAAAUGCAAACUUUUACCUUUCAAUAAAAAAGCUGUUUGUAUUGUUGAAAGCUCUGCUAUUACGUUUUUCUUUUAAAAC